rnacentral:rRNA from 1 species
AUUGGUAAUCUACCUUCAAGACGGGGAUAAUCCCGCGAAAGCGGGAAUAAUACCCGAUAAUAUGUUGUCACAUAAGUGACAUCAUUAAAGUUCCGGCGCUUGAAGAGGAGCCUAUGGCCCAUCAGCUUGUUGGCGAGGUAAAAGCUCACCAAGGCUACGACGGGUAGGGGGUGUGAGAGCAUGGCCCCCCUCACUGGGACUGAGACACUGCCCAGACUCCUACGGGAGGCUGCAGUCAAGAAUAUUCCGCAAUGGGCGAAAGCCUGACGGAGCGACGCCGCGUGCCGGAAGAAGCCCUUCGGGGUGUAAACGGCUUUUAGUAGGGAAGAAUCCGUGACGGUACCUACUGAAUAAGGGGCUGCUAACCUCGUGCCAGCAGCAGCGGUAAUACGAGGGCCCCAAGCGUUAUCCGAAUUUACUGGGCGUAAAGAGUGCGUAGGCGGCUAGAUAAGUCUUUGGUCAAAUCAUGGGGCUCAACUCCAUGGCUGCCGAGGAUACUGUUUGGCUUGAGACUGGA